rnacentral:tmRNA from 1 species
GGGGGCGUAAUGGUCUCGACGGGGAUUUUGAAGCAUGGGAAGCGAGUAGAGGCGCAGGACCUCUUAAAAACCUGACACUUAAAAUUAAACGACAACAAUAACGUUGCAUUUGCUGCUUAAUUAAGCAGCCGUCCGGCCGGAUAGGACCACGGAUCCGGAUGCGGGCGUCGAUGAGUGGUGAACGUCGCCGCAAGGUUCCUCCCGCGUGGACGAUGUAUAGGAGGAUACCAAGUCCUUUAGCUUGUUUGUCAGCGACUGGAUAAGGGAAUGGAAAGGACAAACUGCACUCGGAGAUGCCUAUGUGAAUGAAUUUUCGGACAGGAGUUCGAUUCUCCUCGCCUCCACCA